rnacentral:lncRNA from 1 species
ACCAAGCGAAUGGUCAUUGUCCAAGAAGGAGGACAACGACACUGUCCUUGAAGCACCACCUGACACUGUCCUCGAAACAGGUCGCGGAGGCCCGACCGAUGCCGCCCCGAAGGGAGACCGGGGGCCCAUCGCUUGGCGCUAUAAAAAAAAUUUUAUAUAGAAGCGUGGACAACUCAAUGGUCCGCUUCCCGCUCCACCGAGUAAGUAAAGAUACGAUGAGAGUAUAGUGGUAUUUCACUGGCGGCCACGAGGACCCCGCCGAAACGAAGCCGUAUCCCGUGACCUUCCACUUAUGCUACACAUUUCAUGUCUCUUCACAGAGUCAGAAGCUCAACAGAGUCUUCUUUCCCGGCUGAUUUUGCCAAGCCCGUUCCCUUGGCUGUGGUUUCGCUAGAUAGCAGAUAGGGACAUUUCGGAAGAACACA